AUAGGUAUGCUGAAAUUGGCAGACAGGUUCCACUUAGGAUGGAAUGGUUUUAUCCGUGCAAGUUCAAGUCUUGCUACCUAUA
rnacentral:tRNA from 1 species